UACGUAGGUGGCAAGCGUUGUCCGGAUUUACUGGGCGUAAAGGGCGUGCAGGCGGUUUGUUAAGUGCAGAGUGAAAGCUCCCGGCUCAACUGGGAGAGGUCUUUGCAUACUGGCAAACUCGAGGGAGGCAGAGGAAAGUGGAAUUCCCGGUGUAGUGGUGAUAUGCGUAGAUAUCGGGAGGAACACCUGUGGCGAAGGCGGCUUUCUGGGCCUUACCUGACGCUGAGGUACGAAAGCGUGGGGAGCAAACAGG
rnacentral:rRNA from 1 species